rnacentral:rRNA from 1 species
CGCGGAGGUGGGGAAGUUUCCUAUUUGGCAAUGGGCCUGACCGAGAUGCGCCCCUGGCGGGAGGAAGGUCAUUGCCUUGUAAACCUCUUCUACUUUCGAAGAAGAUGAGAGGGUUCUUGAUGAAUCCCUCUCGGAUAAAUCCUACUCACCAACCACGGUAAUACUAACUCAGGCAAGCGUUGUUCGGAGUAACUGGGGGUGCGGGAGCGCAGGCGAAUUACUGGGUCUGAGGUGGAAGCCCGGGGCUUAACCCCGGAAUUGCUUUGCAUACUGCUUAACUUGAGUAUGUGAGAGGAAAGCUGGAAUUCUGGUGUACCGGUGAAAUGCAUAGAUAUCUGGAGGAACACCGGUGGGCAAAGCGGCUUUCUGGACAUUACUGACGCUGAGGCGCCCCUUGGUGGGGAGCAAACAGGAUUAGAUACCCUGGUAGGAGCGCCCUGAUUAUGAAUGUUAGUCGUCCACGAAGCCAGUCUUUUCGGUGAUGCAGGCUAACGCAUUAGACAUUCCGCCUGGGAAGUACGGUCGCAAGAUUAAAACUCGGAUGAAUUGACCG